UAACACGUGGGUAACCUGCCUUAUAGUGGGGGAUAGCCUUUCGAAAGGAAGAUUAAUACCGCAUAAGAUUGUAGUAUCGCAUGAUAUAGCAAUUAAAGGAGCAAUUCCGCUAUAAGAUGGACCCGCGUCGCAUUAGCUAGUUGGUGAGGUAAUGGCUCACCAAGGCGACGAUGCGUAGCCGACCUGAGAGGGUGAUCGGCCACAUUGGGACUGAGACACGGCCCAGACUCCUACGGGAGGCAGCAUG
rnacentral:rRNA from 1 species